GACGAACGCUGGCGGUGUGCUUAACACAUGCAAGUCGAACGGUAAGGCCCUUUCGGGGGUCCACGAGUGGCGAACGGGUGAGUAACACGUGAGUAACCUGCCCUCAUCUCUGGGAUAACAGUCGGAAACGGUUGCUAAUACUGGAUAUGAGCUUGCAAGGCAUCUUGUGGGUUGGAAAGAUUUUUUUUGGUUGGGGAUGGACUCGCGGCCUAUCAGCUUGUUGGUGAGGUAGUGGCUCACCAAGGCUUCGACGGGUAGCCGGCCUGAGAGGGCGAACGGCCACAAUGGGGCCGGGAUACGGCCCAAACUCCUACGGGAGGCAGCAGUGGGGAAUAUUGCACAAUGGACGGAAGUCUGAUGCAGCAACGCCGCGUGCGGGAUGACGGCCUUCGGGUUGUAAACCGCUUUCAAUUGUGACGAAGCUUUUUUGUGACGGUAGCAGUAGAAGAAGCACCGGCUAACUACGUG
rnacentral:rRNA from 1 species